GCGGCGGAGUACAAAACGUUCUGGAAAUUCACCCAUAAACGAUUUUCUUUCUUUUUAACCAAACAAGGUUUCAUGGUGUCACAGCCCCGAACGCGCGGAGAACGUGCGGAUAUUAUGAAGAUAGACAUAGGACAAUUAAAGUUCUAUAAAACCCUUGAGAAAUAAGAUCGCAAACUGAUAACCUCCUUUUUAUAAGUCGGCUAAAAGUUAAUUGCAAUGAUACAUCGCCGUUUUAAUUAAUUGCCUGUGCGAAUUGGCGCACUUUCGCUGUUUUCUGUUGGAAACUGUAAAGUCACCGACAUUCUGAGGAAAUGAGAUUAUAGUGCGCGCGCGCACCAUUUAGUUUUAACUUGGGUUUAAUUUAUCCAGGCGAGUACCUACGUAGCAACUCUUUAUAGAUAUUUUUAAUUUAUAAAUAUUUUAGUAUAAGUUAUUUUUAAGAUAAAUUUUAGUUUAAAUUAAUACAAUUUUGCUGUGUAUUUAUUGUUAAUUCUAUUUUGUGAUUGAAAUUAAAGUUUUUGUAGCGUAGCAACUUUACAAUAUUCCGCAAUGAAAAACCAACCAUGUUAAGCAGAAUCCGUCAAAUUUUGGCCAACUAUAGUGUUUGGCGGGCAUUAAAACGUCGUCGUUUCGUAUCAA